rnacentral:misc_RNA from 1 species
CGACCCUUACGCCCUAGUUGCGUAGCGUUGGGAACCUUUAGCGCCCUCUCGGGCGGUAAUUCCCCAAAGUCAGUUGGCAGAGUUGCGGCAUACUCUGAGCGUAGUAAUUCUUUUUCUCGCUCCUGAAGGUGUCGCGGCGAUCGCCAUAAACCUCUAUAUUUUUCUAGU